GUCCUUUGUCAGUAAGGCCAUCUUGUGGGAUCGAGGACUCUACCACUACACAGACCACACUGUCCGUGAUGGACGUCCUUCUCUGUGUCCUCGUUUCCUGGUUCACAUGAAGGCCUGUCCUACAGACCUCAGACCCCCACGUCUCCUAUCCAGUAACCCCAGGCCACAUCCUCCUCGCCAGGAAUUGACACAACAAAGACACCCCCUUGGCGGCCUGAAGACGCAUUCAUGUGCAGACUCCAGGAGCCUGCAGCACUGCAGCACCACCAGAGGGAGGCGCUUAGCUGUUGUUGUUCCCUGUGUACCAGUGCCAGUCUCCCCCUCUCCCAGCAGAGCCUCCCCUGAGCUCUCAGUCUGUCCAAGUCCAACA